UUCUUUUUCCUUUACUACUUUUUAUAAAAUUGCAUUUCCUAUGUGAAUAUUCCCAACCCUGUAUAGCCACCAGCAGCCGCGGAGAACUGGGUUCCUGAAAAGAAAGCUGGGGCUGGAUGCGAAGGACAGACGAGAGAGGAAUGAAACAAAGACAGAGUUUCUGAGCAAGGCCCAGUGUUUAAUUCUUGAGUCUGGUUUUUAAAGGGAGGAAACCCAUCCCCCACUUUGCCAGGAUCUCAUCAGGAAAACAGGCUCAGCUGGUAGUGGCUUCUUGCAGGAAGCUGCAGCUGCAGCUUCACCUAGGUCAGAAGACCCUACCCCAGUUGGGCUAGCCAGCAGUGGCAAACAAGGUCUGCUUUAGCCUGCUCAAGGCUGGGGGAAGGGCACAAACCUGGUGGGACCAUGUGUUUCUAGGAUUCGAGAAAAGCAACAUAUAUAUGAGCUUUUGUCCCCCAACAACAACAAAAAAAAAUCACAUCUUCUUGGAAAAAUUUACCUUCAGUUACUGUAGGUUUCUCCUUUUCCUGGUACACCACAAACAGAAGAGGUGGGGGUAAGAGGCCCACUGUAACCCCCAACUGACCAGUACUACUUCAUAACUUGUGUCUGGACCCUGUAACAGCUGUCUUGCUUGUGGACAGAAACAAGGACCCAGUCCCACAACAGAAGUGACACUUUGAGAGCAAUCGAAGAAUAAAUAAUACAGAGCAUAUUAGCAGAAAAAACACAGCUCAACAAGGAAGACAGGCAUAGUUUAUUGAGUGGCCAUGACUGGAACCCCCAAACAACCCUCUAUGUCUCGCUGUGGACACAUGAGUGGUGGUGGAGGCCUUUAAUCCCAGCACUAAAGAGGCAGAAGCAGACAGAUACUGAUUGUGAGGCCAGCCUAGUCUACAGAGUGAGUUCCAGAACAGCUAGGGUUACACAGAGAAACCCCACCUUGAAAAUACUUU
rnacentral:lncRNA from 1 species